rnacentral:rRNA from 1 species
CUGGCCUAACACAUGCAAGUCGAACGCGAAAGUCUCUUCGGAGAUGAGUAGAGUGGCGCACGGGUGAGUAACGCGUGGAUAAUCUACCUAUUGGUACGGGACAACAGUUGGAAACGACUGCUAAUACCGUAUAAGCUGGAAACGGGAAAGGGGGCCUCUUCUUGAAAGCUCUCGCCAGUAGAUGAGUCCGCGUUUCAUUAGCUAGACGGUGGGGUAACGGCCUACCGUGGCAACGAUGAAUAGCAGGCCUGAGAGGGUGGCCUGCCACACUGGGACUGGAACACGGCCCAGACUCCUACGGGAGGCAGCAGUGGGGAAUAUUGCGCAAUGGACGAAAGUCUGACGCAGCGACGCCGCGUGGAGGAUGAAGGUUUUCGGAUCGUAAACUCCUGUCAAGAGGGAAGAAACCUAUUAAGAAUAAUACUCUUAGUAAUUGACGGUACCUCUAGAGGAAGCACCGGCUAAUUCAGUGCCAGCAGCCGCGGUAAUACUGAAGGUGCAAGCGUUAAUCGGAAUCACUGGGCGUAAAGCGCUCGUAGGUGGCUUUGUAAGUCAGAUGUGAAAGCCCACGGCUCAACCGUGGAAUUGCAUUUGAUACUGCAUCGCUAGAGUAUAGGAGAGGAAAGUGGAAUUCCCGGU